rnacentral:rRNA from 1 species
UACGAAGGGGGCUAGCGUUGUUCGGAUUUACUGGGCGUAAAGCGCACGUAGGCCGAUUGGUCAGUUGGGGGUGAAAUCCCGGGGCUUAACCUCGGAACUGCCUUCAAUACUGCCAGUCUCGAGUCUGGAAGAGGUGAGUGGAAUUCCUAGUGUAGAGGUGAAAUUCGUAGAUAUUAGGAAGAACACCAGUGGCGAAGGCGGCUCACUGGUCCGGUACUGACGCUGAGGUGCGAAAGCGUGGGGAGCAAACAGG